GUAAUGACUCUCGGCAACGGAUAUCUUGGCUCUCGCAUCGAUGAAGAACGUAGCGAAAUGCGAUACUUGGUGUGAAUUGCAGAAUCCCGUGAACCAUCGAGUGCUUUGAACGCMAU
rnacentral:rRNA from 1 species